AGCUUCCCCUGGCCACUGUUUUGGCUGUCUCCCAUGGUUAAUGUGAGAAUAACAGCCUGCUAUUUGGUAAGUAUUACAGGAGUGGGACUGAGGCAGGAAGAGAUGCUGAAUGACUUGCCCUUACAGCUGAUGGAAGUUCUUAAUUAAAUGCUCUAAUUAGCAAGCAGUAGCUUGCUAACCAGUUUGUGCCGAGCCAUGGGAAAAAAAGUGUUGUUGGAGAGAAACUGGUUUGCAGAAGAGAACACGGUGUUGCUCUAUAGAUAUUGGUCGAGGAAUGCAUGGAGGUAUGAGUUUGAAUGUUCAGGGGGAGUGAGAUGGGAAGGAGCCACCUGCUGCAGCUGUAGCCAGCAUUUCUUCUGGUUUACAGAAGAUUUUGCUGAUCCCUCUCUUAGCAGUCUCUUCAGAUUAGAGAAGAAGUUCCAGUGCUUCAGAAAAAGGAAUGCACCAUUGUAUUCUUCUCUGUGGAGUAAUAAUGCUGUUGGUGACUGUUUUUUUUUUGUUGUUGUUGUUGUUUCUUCCAGCUGCUGCUGCAGAAAGCUCACUCAGGUUACUGUCUAAUGUGGCCCAGGAGGUGAAAGGACGAGGUACUAUAAGCUGGAUAGACUGUGGGUGGCUGCAAACUACUGCAAUAAUAAUGUGAGGAUGAAGGAGUUCUGUCUGUCACUGGUCACAGAGGGCUGUUUGUAGGCACUGGGAACAGCUGAGCACUGCCAGAAGCUCUCAGGCCAUUUUCCUAGAACAAGUAUGCUGUGAGGCUUAUUUGCAACCCUUCAUACUGAAACAAACAGCACACAGAUGCAGGGAUAUUUAUAACACAAGCUCGAUUUGUUUCACAAAUAUUGACAAGCAAUGGCUAGUUUGGCAGUAACGUUUAGCAGGGAACUUUGGCUUUAUUCUACACAUCCGACUGCAGCAGACUUGGAUCUGAUAGCAAACAAGCACUGGCAAGGCUGUUGUGCCGUUCAGAGCUGUGCUUUGUGUCUGCUCCCUGUGGCAGUGACAACAGCAGUCUUAUUCUUUACUGGCUAUGGGUUUGGGUUUAUUCUUUGUUUUCCUUGUAAUCCCCCCUCUCCCUUAUUUUAUGGGACCAAAAACAUACUACUGCUCUGAUGGAAAUCACUAUUCAUUGUUAAAUCUCAAUAGUACAUGCAGCUUGUAUUUUGGCUUGCUUGGGUCUGCAGGCUGGGACAGAAGCUGGAACUCAAGAGAUGGAUUGGUCUUCUGGAGAGCAGUGGUUCUCAAGUUGGCCACUGAGUUACUGCUGUUCAUUCCUGCUGUUAAAAAGAGUUGUAUCUGUGUUUGCCAGGCAGUUAAAUAAAUAUUGCCUGAUUCAUUA